AUACAAUAAGCAUUUCUGAGAAAAACUUGUUUUCAUAGUGAAUGACUAUUAUAUAGAGAUGUUGUUAUAGGGAAGUGUCUGACGGUAUAUAUAAGAAUAUAAAGAUUUUUUAUAUUAUUAAUGUAGAUUUAACUUAUUAGUAACUAUUAUUUUUAUUAAGUUAGCGAUUAAUAUUUAUUAUAAGGACUCACCUAUGAUUACCAUAUGCAAAUAAAAGCCUUUGUGAAGUCAAUAGAGUUCAUGGACUAUUUACAUGUAAAACAUGUUUGUGGAGUCACUGGAGUUCAUCAACUUAUUUGUAUGGUGUUGCACUGAAAAGUGGGUUGGUAUGUAUGGUGUUACUUGUUACUUAUAUGGUGUUGUAUUGAUUUUGUUUUUGCUGUGAGCUUUUUCAUGAAUGUCUGAGUGGCAACAAUUUAUUGAGGAUUGAUAUAAUCGACCUCAACUUGUUUGGAAUUAGGGCUUAGUCUAUUAUUAAUGGCGAGCUCUGUACUAAAGAGUUUUCUCGUGUAUUUACUAUGUAGUAUAUGAAAAUUGCUGCAAUUAGUGAUUUCAUCUGCUGAUACUUCAAGAAAAUAAAGAUAUGCUAUAGCUUCCUCCCCAUUGCAAUGGUUCUAUUUUUUCAUGUUUAGCGAUCGAAGAAACUUUCACAAUUGCUGUGAUAAGAGCUUUUGAUAUGUUACCCGCAAGUGCAUCAUUUCUGGAUGAAUACCUACCAAGCUAAAUGCAUAAAAGCUAUCAAACUUUAGUAAAAAUAAAAUAUUUCCUUAUAGCUUUACUGCUUGAUGUUUCAGAUGUGCCUUGUGUACAUAUACACUAUUGUUUAGAUUUUCAUUAAGUACAUAUAAACUAUUGUCUAGAUGUUCAACUUGAAACAAAAUUUGUAGUUCUUGGUUGAGGAUUAUCCUUCUAGGUUUUCAUAAAUGAUACGACGGUUAUAUAACACAGUUUUUCUAAUUCAUUUUUGUUUAUAUUUAUGCAGCCUCGUUUACAUUGCUAUUUUAUUUUUGAAGUGUAUAUAUAUUACACUUGAUGAAUUUGGACACCUUUUCAGGUAAAAGGUCAAAUUAUUAAUAGAGUAAAAUUGAAAAAAAAAUAUUCAAUAUAAUUUUCUAGUGAUCUUUAUAAUUUCUUAUUAAAGGAAUUUUUGUUGAAUAUUUUUUACAGGUUAUCAAGAUGCGGGUUUUGAAGACAUAUAAUCAGUAGACCUUUGCUUUGCUAGGAAUAUUGGACAAAAUAUCAUAUUAAUUUUAGGGAUGUUAGCUAGAGGUACUUUUGCUAAAGGAGUGUCCAAAAAAUAUUUCACCAUGAUUGUACAAUGCUACUAAUUUUUUGUCAGUAAUUAUUAUAUAUGAAACCAUAUCUUUUUUUCAUUAUAUUAUUUUUUGUGAUUAAAUUUUCUAUUUGUAGAAUCAAUAUAUCUGAUUUGAAAAUUUAUGAAAAAUUAGAAUUUUGGACCACCCAUGCUU
rnacentral:lncRNA from 1 species